ensembl:lncRNA
UGAAAAAUUACAUUUCAGUUUCUAGUUUAGAGCUCUGUCUGUGAUUUAUACUUCAUUUAUUUUACAACAAAACAUGAUUUUAUAAUUGUCUCGACGAGCAGCUUAACAUGGAUUUACUAGUUUAGAUAACCCAGAUCAAGCUCUCAACUGAUGGGAUGACUUCUGUUGGAAUGGAUCUACAACGAUGACUUUUUGUAGAGCUCAACUCCAGUCCCGGGACCCACAGUGCUGCACAUUUUGUUUGUCUCUCUAAUCCGACAGAUUGUUUAAACAUUAAACAAGGGAGACAAACCGAGUAAAAUAUGGACCAGAAUCAAGAAAUACAGGUUUGCAGGCAAACAGAAUCAUAGGAGAAGGUCCACCCAUGAGGAUGAGUGUCUUCUGGAGGUGGAGGAAGGGGGUUCUUAACUGCUGUUUAUGGGUCUGUCCCAAUACACACACUUGUGGUCUAGGCCACUUUAAGCUCAUUGUCCUUCAUGGACACUAUAUUCACAUCUCUAACACUGCAUCAGGGCAGUAUUUAAGGUUAAGCAUAACCCAUCAAAAUCAAGAGAAGAAAAACAGUGUGUGUAAAAUUAUUUUUAUAUUUAUAUUUAAUUUGGUAG